UUUCGCUUGGGACAAUUGACAGUCACACCUACUCCAGCUAUCAGCUGAAGGAGAAACGUUCCCUGCAUAAUCAGUACAGUAGGUCAGUAGCUUAGGUGAGAUCUGUCCUAGACCUCUUUUCACUAGCGAAAGGGUCUCUAGAUGUUUUGACAUUUUUUUUUCAUUGUCAAAAGGGUCUCUAGAUAUUUUGAGUAGCACUCUUCAGGUUUCUAAGUUCGAUUCUGUGGGAGCCAAAUUUCAAGCUAAAGUUUUAAAAAAAGGUCUUUUCAUAUGAGGUCCAACCCCUAUCCCGGUUGAAAAAAUCUUCUUCCUAAUACAGUAUCCGAAGGCUCUCUUAUCCCCACAGUUAGGAGGACGAGCUGACUGCUACGGGAGGUGCCAUCCAGACCUGCUCCGCCGUGGUUUCCUCUGUGGGGGAAGCGGCGGCAACGGAGGUAGAGCAGGAGACGGUCGCGGCCAUGGUCCAUGGAGGCGGUCAGGCGGGCAGGCGGCAACGCAGGUGAACACUGCAUCGCAGGUGGGCCCCUUUUUGAAGUCGACGAUACAGCCUGCAUAAACCUCACUUCACUCCGUUGCUCUGUUUGGGCAUACGGAGUACAUGGGCCACACAUGACACAACAAGUUCAAAGUCGCAACUCGCAAGAGCCCAGGAGCUCUAGUGUCAGCUGGCACCCAACAAUCAGUGAAAUCUACUUAUCUACCCUUCUCGCCGACACGUGGGGUAUAUAUAUGUAUAAGUCAACAUUGUUUCCAUUA